rnacentral:rRNA from 1 species
UACGUAGGGUGCAAGCGUUUGUCCGGAAUUAUUGGGCGUAAAGAGCUUGUAGGCGGUUUGUCGCGUCUGCUGUGAAAUUUCGGGGCUCAACCCCGAACUUGCAGUGGGUACGGGCAGACUAGAGUGUGGUAGGGGAGACUGGAAUUCCUGGUGUAGCGGUGAAAUGCGCAGAUAUCAGGAGGAACACCGAUGGCGAAGGCAGGUCUCUGGGCCAUAACUGACGCUGAGAAGCGAAAGCCAGGGGAGCAAACGGG